AUUGAACGCUGGCGGCAUGCCUUACACAUGCAAGUCGAACGGCAGCGCGGACUUCGGUCUGGCGGCGAGUGGCGAACGGGUGAGUAAUGCAUCGGAACGUACCUUUCAGUGGGGGAUAACGUAGCGAAAGUUACGCUAAUACCGCAUAUUCUGUGAGCAGGAAAGCAGGGGAUCGCCAGACCUUGCGCUGAUUGAGCGGCCGAUGUCAGAUUAGCUAGUUGGUGAGGUAAAGGCUCACCAAGGCGACGAUCUGUAGCGGGUCUGAGAGGAUGGUCCGCCACACUGGGACUGAGACACGGCCCAGACUCCUACGGGAGGCAGCAGUGGGGAAUUUUGGACAAUGGGGGCAACCCUGAUCCAGCCAUGCCGCGUGAGUGAAGAAGGCCUUCGGGUUGUAAAGCUCUUUCGGCCGGGAAGAAAUCGCAUGGGUUAAUACCCUGUGUGGAUGACGGUACCGGAAUAAGAAGCACCGGCUAACUACGUGCCAGCAGCCGCGGUAACAC
rnacentral:rRNA from 1 species